rnacentral:rRNA from 1 species
UACGUAGGUCCCGAGCGUUGUCCGGAAUUACUGGGUGUAAAGGGUGCGCAGGCGGCCUUGUGCGUCAGAAGUGAAAUAUCACGGCUUAACCGUGAGGGUGCUUUUGAAACGGCGAGGCUUGAGUACGGGAGAGGAUGAUGGAAUUCCUGGUGUAGCAGUGAAAUGCGUAGAUAUUAGGAAGAACACCAGUGGCGAAGGCGGCUCACUGGUCCGGUACUGACGCUGAGGUGCGAAAGCGUGGGGAGCAAACAGG